AGAAAGUGAUGACAACGCUAGGCAUUGAUCGAUAUGACUCACGCGGUCCUGAACGCAAUCUGAUCUGCGUUUUCAGUACGUGGCGAGUAAGGCGGUCGGUCGGUUGAAAC
rnacentral:pre_miRNA from 1 species